UGGUUAAGCUAAAAAGAGCGCAGGUGGAUGCCUUGGCACUAAGAGCCGAUGAAAGACGUGAUAAGCUGCGAAAAGCUUCGGGGAGGAGCAAAUAUCCUUUGAUCCGGAGAUAUCUGAAUGGGGAAACCUGGCUGAGCAAACCUCAGUCGGCGUAACGUGAAUCCAUAGCGUUACGUUGGGAACCCGCUGAACUGAAACAUCUAAGUAGGCGGAGGAAAAGAAAGAAAACUCGAUUUCCAGAGUAGCGGCGAGCGAAAUGGAAGGAGCCUAAACCUGGGUGCGUGCACCCAGGGG
rnacentral:rRNA from 1 species